GAUGAAGAACGCAGCGAAAUGCGAUACUUGGUGUGAAUUGCAGAAUCCCGUGAACCAUCGAGUCUUUGAACGCAAGUUGCGCCCGAAGCCAUCAGGUUGAGGGCACGUCUGCCUGGGCGUCACAUAUCGUUGCCCAAUGCCUAUUGCAGUGCAAUAGGAAUUUCUAGGGCGAAUGAUGGCUUCCCGUGAGCGUUGUUGCCUCGCGGUUGGUUGAAAAUCGAGACCUUGGUAGGGUGUGCCAUGGUAGAUGGUGGUCGAGUUAGAACGAUACCGAUCAUGUGCAUGCUCCCCAAAAUAUGGCCUCUAUGACCCACACGCGUCUUUUGACGCUCAUGACGAGACCUCAGGUCAGGCGGGGCUACCCGCUGAAUUUAAGCAUAUCAAUAAGCGGAGGA
rnacentral:misc_RNA from 1 species